rnacentral:rRNA from 1 species
GACGAACGCUGGCGGCGUGCCUAACACAUGCAAGUCGAGCGAAGUUAUUCCUUCGGGGAUAACUUAGCGGCAGACGGGUGAGUAACACGUGGGUAACCUACCUCAUAGAGGGGAAUAGCCUUCCGAAAGGAAGAUUAAUACCGCAUAAGAUUGUAGUUCCGCAUGGGACAGCAAUUAAAGGAGUAAUCCGCUAUGAGAUGGACCCGCGUCGCAUUAGCUAGUUGGUGAGGUAACGGCUCACCAGGGCGACGAUGCGUAGCCGACCUGAGAGGGUGAUCGGCCACAUUGGGACUGAGACACGGCCCAGGCUCCUACGGGAGGCAGCAGUGGGGAAUAUUGCACAAUGGGGGAAACCCUGAUGCAGCAACGCCGCGUGAGUGAUGACGGUCUUCGGAUUGUAAAACUCUGUCUUUGGGGACGAUAAUGACGGUACCCAAGGAGGAAGCCACGGCUAACUACGUGCCAGCCGCCGCAGUAAUAC